rnacentral:rRNA from 1 species
AUUGAACGCUGGCGGCAGGCCUAACACAUGCAAGUCGAACGAGUGGCGGACGGGUGAGUAAUGUCUGGGACACUGCCUGAUGGAGGGGGAUCACUACUGGAAACGGUAUCUAAUACCGCAUACCAUCAGAUGUGCCCAGAUGGGAUUAGCUAGUAGGUGGGGUAACGGCUCACCUAGGCGACGAUCCCUAGCUGGUCUGAGAGGAUGACCAGCCACACGGGAACGGAGACACGGGCCAGACUCCUACGUGAGGCAGCAGUGGGGAAUAUUGCACAAUGGGCGCAAGCCUGAUGCAGCCAUGCCGCGUGUAUGAAGAAGGCCUUCGGGUUGUAAAGUACUUUCAGCGGGGAGGCGUUACCCGCAGAAGAAGCACCGGCUAACUCCGUGCCAGCAGCCGCGGUAAUUC